rnacentral:rRNA from 1 species
UGCAAGUCGAGGGGCAGCGAGAUUGAAGCUUGCUUCAAUUGUCGGCGACCGGCGGACGGGUGCGUAACGCGUAUGCAACCUACCCAUAACAGGGGGAUAACACUGAGAAAUUGGUACUAAUACCCCAUAACAUCUCGAGUGGCAUCACUUGGGGUUGAAAGCUUCGGUGGUUAUGGAUGGGCAUGCGUUGUAUUAGCUAGUUGGUGAGGUAACGGCUCACCAAGGCGACGAUACAUAGGGGGACUGAGAGGUUAACCCCCCACAUUGGUACUGAGACACGGACCAAACUCCUACGGGAGGCAGCAGUGAGGAAUAUUGGUCAAUGGACGGAAGUCUGAACCAGCCAUGCCGCGUGCAGGAUGACGGCUCUAUGAGUUGUAAACUGCUUUUGUACGAGGGUAAACCCGAAUACGUGUAUUCGGCUGAAAGUAUCGUACGAAUAAGGAUCGGCUAACUCCGUGCCAGCAGCCGCGGUAAUACGGAGGAUCCAAG